AUUGAACGCUGGCGGCAUGCUUUACACAUGCAAGUCGAACGGUAACAGGCCGCAAGGUGCUGACGAGUGGCGAACGGGUGAGUAAUGCAUCGGAACGUGCCCAGUCGUGGGGGAUAACGCAGCGAAAGCUGCGCUAAUACCGCAUACGACCUAUGGAUGAAAGCGGGGGACCGUAAGGCCCCGCGCGAUUGGAGCGGCCGAUGUCAGAUUAGGUAGUUGGUGGGGUAAAGGCUCACCAAGCCAACGAUCUGUAGCUGGUCUGAGAGGACGACCAGCCACACUGGGACUGAGACACGGCCCAGACUCCUACGGGAGGCAGCAGUGGGGAAUUUUGGACAAUGGGCGCAAGCCUGAUCCAGCCAUGCCGCGUGCAGGAUGAAGGCCUUCGGGUUGUAAACUGCUUUUGUACGGAACGAAAAGACUCUGGUUAAUACCUGGGGUCCAUGACGGUACCGUAAGAAUAAGCACCGGCUAACUACGUGCCAGCCGCCGCGGUAAAAC
rnacentral:rRNA from 1 species